UACAGAGGUGGCAAGCGUUGUUCGGAAUUACUGGGCGUAAAGGGCGCGUAGGCGGAAUGGCAAGUCGGUCGUGAAAUCCUUCGGCUCAACCGAAGAACGUCGAUCGAAACUGCCGUUCUUGAGGAUUGCAGAGGAGACUGGAAUUCCCGGUGUAGCGGUGAAAUGUGUAGAGAUCGGGAGGAACACCGGUGGCGAAGGCGGGUCUCUGGGCAAUUCCUGACGCUGAGGCGCGAAAGCGUGGGGAGCAAACGGG
rnacentral:rRNA from 1 species